rnacentral:lncRNA from 1 species
UUUUGGGUUACCCAUUCGGGUUCGGUUAAUAACACUUCGGGUUCGGAUAUGUUUUAAAACACCCUACAAGAUCCAUUGAGGUAUUUUUACAUUUCGGAUCGGGUACGGAUCGGGUUUUUUGGUUCAGAUUCAGUUCGGAUUUCGGGUUACAGGUUUUUUACCCAGCCCUAGUGCCAGGAGUUACUUUUCCCUGUUAUUAUUAUUAAUUUAUUUUCCUUUGGAGGCUUCAUCGGUUACAUGUGGAGGUAAUACGGCAAUAUCAUGUAUAAUAGGCACGAUGUAUAGGUGAUAUAGGGCUUUUGGUUACACAUUGAAUUAUAGUUUGUUUGGAGGCUAUACAACGCAAUUUCUCUUUUAAAAUUUCAGAAACCGCUCUCCAAUAUUUAGAGGUUAUAUAUGAACUGUUUUUUUUUUAACGUUGGAUUGUAUUAUUAAUCAUUCUAGGUAAAGA